AGGAGAGUUUGAUCCUGGCUCAGGAUGAACGCUAGCGGCAGGCCUAAUACAUGCAAGUCGGACGGUAAGCGCCCCUUCGGGGGUGCGAGAGUGGCGCACGGGUGCGUAACGCGUAUGCAACCAGCCCCGUCCAGGCGGAUAGCCGGUGGAAACGCCGGAUAAUACGCCACGGUCCCGGAGGGGGGCAUCCCUUUCCGGGUGAAGCGGAGACGCGGGACGGGACGGGCAUGCGUGCCAUUAGCUGGUUGGCGGGGCGACGGCCCACCAAGGCUACGAUGGCUAGGGGAUCUGAGAGGACGGUCCCCCACACUGGUACUGAGACACGGACCAGACUCCUGCGGGAGGCAGCAGUAAGGGAUAUUGGUCAAUGGGGGGAACCCUGAACCAGCCAUGCCGCGUGAGGGAAUGAGGCCCUACGGGUCGUGAACCUCUUUUAUUCGGGGACAACGGCGGCGUCGCGAACGCCGCGUGAGGGUACCGAAGGAAUAAGCGUCGGCUAACUCCGUGCCAGCAGCCGCGGUAAUACGGAGGACGCGAGCGUUAUCCGGAUUCAUUGGGUUUAAAGGGUGCGCAGGCGGCCGUGCAAGUCAGCGGUGAAAGCCCGGGGCUCAACCCCGGAAGUGCCGUUGAUACUGCAUGGCUGAAUGCGGUCGAGGCGGGCGGAACGUGGCGUGUAGCGGUGAAAUGCGUAGAUAUGCCACAGAACGCCGAUAGCGGAGGCAGCUCGCCAGGCCUGCAUUGACGCUCGGGCACGAAAGCGUGGGGAUCGAACAGGAUUAGAUACCCUGGUAGUCCCCU
rnacentral:rRNA from 1 species